rnacentral:rRNA from 1 species
UACGUAGGGGGCAAGCGUUAUCCGGAUUUACUGGGUGUAAAGGGAGCGUAGACGGCACUGCAAGUCCGGAGUGAAAGCCCAAGGCUUAACCAUGGGACUGCUCUGGAAACUGUGGAGCUUGAGUGCGGGAGGGGCAGGCGGAAUUCCUAGUGUAGCGGUGAAAUGCGUAGAUAUUAGGAGGAACACCAGUGGCGAAGGCGACUUUCUGGACUGUACCUGACGCUGAGGCGCGAAAGCGUGGGUAGCGAACGGG